CAAGUCCUGCAGUGCUGGUCUGGCUGGGAUUCCUGCAUUUCAGAAAACCCCAGCUGACCAAGGAAGCCCCUCAGCAUGUCCAUCAGCAGGUCCCCUCAUGUAACUCCUUAAACUCAAAAUGUUUUGAACCCUUGAAUUGGCUUCUUGUGGAGUGGAUGGAGGACUGUGCCAUUCUUGGUUUCUCCUCAGGUACUUUGGAUCCAACUCUGACUUCUCCAGAGCAUCUCACCACCUACACAAGAGUGGAAAAGCACCAGUUUCCUCACUGUAAGGUCUCUGCUGUCUGUAAAGCUUUAUUUCAUAUAGGAACACGUACCCUUGGAGAAAUUUCAGAGGGCAAGUUCCAGCUGUGGCAGUGUCCAAUCAAAAGGCUGCAAGAGCUUUUUUUUUUUCUUCCCCCAGCACUGGCCUGGAGAAGGAGACAACUGUCCCGAGGAUACAAGGUGCCCCAACUCCAUGGCAGAUAUCUUGGCUGUGUGUUUUGGGGUAUUUACUCUUGGUGGGUUGGUAAAUACAAUGACAGGGGUGUUCAAUCCCACGGACGCCGCAGAUCCCUGGCUGUGUUUUGGGGUAUUUACCGU
rnacentral:lncRNA from 1 species